AUUGAACGCUGGCUGCAUGCCUUACACAUGCAAGUCGAACGGCAGCGGGGGAGAAGCUUGCUUUUCCUGCCGGCGAGUGGCGAACGGGUGAGUAAUACAUCGGAACGUGCCCUGUAGUGGGGGAUAACUAGUCGAAAGAUUAGCUAAUACCGCAUACGACCUGAGGGUGAAAGUGGGGGACCGCAAGGCCUCAUGCUAUAGGAGCGGCCGAUGUCUGAUUAGCUAGUUGGAGGGGUAAAGGCCUACCAAGGCGACGAUCAGUAGCUGGUCUGAGAGGACGAUCACCCAAGCUGGGACGGAGACACGGCCCAGACGCCUACGGGAGGCAGCAGUGGGGAAUUUUGAACAAUGGGGGAAAGCCUGAUCCAGCAAUGCCGCGUGUGUGAAGAAGGCCUUCGGGUUGUAAAGCACUGUUGUCCGGAAAGAAAUGGCUCUGGUUAAUACCUGGGGUCGAUGACGGUACCGGAAGAAUAAGGACCGGCUAACUACGUGCCAGCCGCCGCCGUAA
rnacentral:rRNA from 1 species